UACGGAGGGGGCUAGCGUUGUUCGGAAUUACUGGGCGUAAAGCGCACGUAGGCGGCUUUGUAAGUUAGAGGUGAAAGCCCGGGGCUCAACUCCGGAAUUGCCUUUAAGACUGCAUCGCUCGAAUUGUGGAGAGGUAAGUGGAAUUCCGAGUGUAGAGGUGAAAUUCGUAGAUAUUCGGAAGAACACCAGUGGCGAAGGCGACUUACUGGACACAUAUUGACACUGAGGUGCGAAAGCGUGGGGAGCAAACAGG
rnacentral:rRNA from 1 species